rnacentral:rRNA from 1 species
CUGGCCGUAAACGAUGGGUACUAGGUGUGGGAGGUAUCGACCCCUUCCGUGCCGGAGUUAACGCAAUAAGUACCCCGCCUGGGGAGUACGGCCGCAAGGUUGAAACUCAAAGGAAUUGACGGGGGCCCGCACAAGCGGUGGAGUAUGUGGUUUAAUUCGACGCAACGCGAAGAACCUUACCAAGGCUUGACAUCGAGUGAAGGCAUUGGGAAACCAGUGCCGUUUCUUCGGAAACACAAAGACAGGUGG